rnacentral:misc_RNA from 1 species
GGGGGUGAUUGGUGUCGACCUAGUCGAUGCCGUCUUUGGUUGCGAGCCGAGGCGCCGCAGGCCUCGUAAAAAAGCGGCAAAAAAAUAAACGCGAACACUCAAAACUACGCGCUCGCGGCUUAAUUAGCCGCCCGUCCAUCUUGCCCCUGCCGGCCGGGCGAGAAUGGGCGUCACCAUGCCGGCUUGGCGUGUGAGGGCGGAACGCCCCCUCCACGUAACCUCUUAGGCGUUCUAGCGUUCUGCUAGCCCGGCCUCC